AAUAGUUUGUUCUAAGAAAAUAUUAAAUUUGUACUAUAUGUUAAUAAUAAUGUUUCAGUUGUGUUGUUCUUAUAAAUAAUUUUUAAUUUACAUUAUUGAAGUUAAAAAAUUAAUAAAAAUUGUGAUUUACAUAAUUAAGAAUAUUAUUAAUUAGUAUUAAUUUAUAAUUAAAAUUAAUAAUAAAAUAAAUAGAAUAUCUUAAAAAUUUUUAUUCACUUUGUCAUUAAAAAACUACAAUUCUUUAAAUAAGGGUAAAAUUAUAAUUUAAAACAAUCACUCUUAAUCUAAGAUAAAGUAAGCAUAUAAAUAAAAUUUUGAUUCACAUUCCAUACUCUCAUUUCAAUAUAAGAAAACAAUCUACUCUUACUCUACACUCCCAAUUCCUGGAUUCAUACUUCUCAGGAUUCUCACUCCAAUGCGAGAAAUAAACGCUACCUUAAUAUUCUUGAGAUAGAUUGUGGAUCGCAUAACACAACAAAAUGAUGGAGAAACACCAAGAGCCUCUGAAAUUGCAGCAUAAUUAAUAGCUGCAACAAUGGAAUGGAAAACAGAAAAAGGAAAACAUUAAUCAAUUACAUUACUGAAAAUGAUGACAGAAAUGCAUGUUUGAGAAAGGCAUUCAACUAACUAAAAAGCACCAAAUUGAGGCAUUGGAUAGUCAAUAACGCAUGUCCUUGAUAUCUCUUGGCCGUAGGUAAAUAUAUAUACAAAGCCACUGCAUAUAGGAAUUACCACAUUAUUAUUUACACAUGUUUUCAAACAUAUUCAGUUAUUCACCCAUUCUGAAAUUUAAUCAAAUUUAAGCAUAAUUAGAUCCAAAUAACAUGGAUUCUGGACAGAUCAUUGUGACCACACCAUAAGUUAACCUUGGUCCAAAUGGCUACAGCAGUUAGUGCUUACCAAACACUUUAUUGCUUCAGUUUAAAAACUAUAGUUAUUCAAUUUCAAUCCCAAACAUUGCCUAAGUAUUGGUCCAGAUGGCUAGAGCUGGCAAAACGGGCCAUCGGGUCGUGCUCGUAUCGUGUCAAAUUUAGGUAGACCCAAACCCGACCCAUUUAAUAAUUGUGUCAAAAUAUUGUGACCCAAACCCGACACGGAAAAAUAACCGGGUUACUCAAUAACCCGCUUAAUAUCUAUAUAUUAAACAAAAGUUACAUCAAAUAUUUACACAUUGUCAUACAUAGAUACAUACAUACAUACAUACAUAUAAACAUAAUUUAUCGAUAUUAUAAAAUAUACAUAUAUAACAAAAUAUUAUACAUUUACACUAUUGAAG
rnacentral:lncRNA from 1 species